AUUGAACGCUGGCGGCAGGCCUAACACAUGCAAGUCGAACGAGUUUCGUUCGUUUUUUUAAUGUCUGGGAAACUGCCUGAUGGAGGGUGAUAACUACUGGAAACGGUAUCUAAUCCCUCCUCCCAUCCGAUGUGCCCAGAUGGGAUUAGCUAGUAGGUGGGGUAAAGGCUCACCUAGGCGACGAUCCCUAGCUGGUCUGAGAGGAUGACCAGCCACACUGGAACUGCGACACGGUCCAGACUCCUACGGGAGGCAGCAGUGGGGAAUAUUGCACAAUGGGCGCAAGCCUGAUGCAGCCAUGCCGCGUGUAUGAAGAAGGCCUUCGGGUUGUAAAGUACUUUCAGCGGGGAGGCGUUAACCGAAGAAGAAGAAACGGCUAACUCCGUGCCAGCAGCCGCGGUAAUUG
rnacentral:rRNA from 1 species